UCGACGCUUGACUUUUUUUAAUAGGACUUUUUUCAUAUAUCCAUAAUAUACAGGCAACAUAAAGGCAACAAGCGGUUACAAGCGUGUUGUGUUUUGCUUGAUAUCUGCUUCGCUGAUCUCGCUUCAUUUUUUAUUAUAUUAUCAUUCAAGAUUACAAGCCCUUAUUCUAGCAUACUAAAAGCAGUGAUGAUGAUGACUUCAGAUCAAACUCCAAUUCAAAUUAAUCGAUUGCUAUUAAAAAUCGAAUUGCACCGCUUCAUCACUCUUCUGCUCAUCAGAAAUUAGCAAACAAGACAUUCGGCUGGAACUCAAAUUGUCCGUUUUUGAAAAAUAUCCAAACAGCGUCCAGAACAUCCCGAUCGGCCACGACGAGCAGGUGGAUAUCAUGCAUGACGCAAAAGGCAAAAAGAAAAAUGGCACUACAACCUUCAUGACUGAUGACGAUGCUCAAGGAGUUGAAAAUGCAAAUCCUGAUGUUGGGCCGCCUCCGGUUCCUGCCCCACCAGAAGGUGAUAACAACCAAAAUCAAGUACCUGCCCCGCCAGAAGGUGAUCAAUAACAACCAAAAUUGACAAGAGCAACAUCGUAAAAUUGGAGCAUAAAGUCCAGCGGCACCUGGCUAAUUUUUGGUAGGCUUUCCAGCAGAUGGAUGAAUGGAGGAAGUCAGUAUCAUGGACUUUUCAGAAGACGAAAAAAAUAAAAUAUUCUUAUAAUACAUAACUCAUUCCAUAAAUGCUUGUUGUAUAUUCCAAAUUCCUUGCUUAGAGAAUUAAUCUUUUGAUAAAGAAAAAUUAAAUCACUGCUUGCACAAGAGAGGAGGAGACUUGAAUUUAAAGUUUCCUAGGAGGCUUUGUCAUCUGUCCUCAUUGAAAAAUUAAAAAAAUUUCCCCUGAAAUAAAAUAAAUUUCAAUGAGGUCCAAACCAUUUUUUCCAUGCCUAUAUUUUUUUUUAUAAAAUCAUGUCAGUGGAUGAGAAUAAUUUUUUUUUUUUUUAUUUGAAAGAGAUAUUUAUUGUUCGAAUGUGUGGCACAGUGGUUAGUGCGCUUGGCUGAUAAUCUGGAGGCCUUGGGUUCUAUCCUGGCCAGGGUCAGGGCUUGAAAAAGUUCUGAUUCUGACCGGCUAGUUCACAAGACUACAGAAAAUCAUAGGAGGUGCAUUAAUCACUGCGACAGGCAGAUUCGGGAGAAAUUGCAGGCAUUUCGUCUGAAAUUUCGGCCAUGCUGUCUGGUGUUUUCUGCGGUUUCCAUCAGACAUUCCAGGCAAAUGCCGGCAUAGUUCCCAUUCAUAGGCCGCAGCCGCUCGUGCCUUCCUCAUCCUUCAAAUUCCCAACAUACAAACACAUCCUACACUCCCUUCUCCCCGGC